UACGAAGGGGGCAAGCGUUGUUCGGAAUUACUGGGCGUAAAGGGCGCGUAGGCGGCUUGCCAAGUCAGGCGUGAAAUUCCCGGGCUCAACCUGGGGGCUGCGCUUGAUACUGGCUGGCUUGAAUGCGGGAGAGGAUAGUGGAAUUCCCAGUGUAGAGGUGAAAUUCGUAGAUAUUGGGAAGAACACCGGUGGCGAAGGCGGCUAUCUGGGACGGUACUGACGCUGAGACGCGAAAGCGUGGGGAGCGAACAG
rnacentral:rRNA from 1 species